AUUUGAUCUGAAAUCAGG
rnacentral:rRNA from 3 species